rnacentral:misc_RNA from 1 species
GAUGAAGAACGUAGCGAAAUGCGAUAAGUAAUGUGAAUUGCAGAAUUCAGUGAAUCAUCGAAUCUUUGAACGCACCUUGCGCUCCCUGGUAUUCCGGGGAGCACGCCUGUUCAAGUGUCGCGAAAUUCUUCAAGCCUUGGAUGGAUUUUUUUUUGUCUGUCCUUGGGCUUGGUUGUUGGGCUCUGCCGUGUCCUUCAUUGGGACGGCUGGCCUUAAAAGCAUUAGCCGAUCCUCGUGUGGUACUGGUUCUACUCAGCGUGAUAACAAUCUGAUCGUUGCGGACAUCUUCUGGAUGGCCAGUCAUCAUUUGGGUUGCUUCUAAACCGGUUUCGCAGAUUGCUCAAUCUGUGUGCCACUUUUCAGCUUUGACCUCGAAUCAGGUGGGACUACCCGCUGAACUUAAGCAUAUCAAUAAGCGGAGGA